ACGGGUGAGUAACACGUGGGAACGUACCCUUUUCUACGGAAUAACCCAGGGAAACUUGGACUAAUACCGUAUGUGCCCUUCGGGGGAAAAAUUUAUCGGAAAAGGAUCGGCCCGCGUUGGAUUAGCUAGUUGGUGGGGUAAAGGCCUACCAAGGCGACGAUCCAUAGCUGGUCUGAGAGGAUGAUCAGCCACAUUGGGACUGAGACACGGCCCAAACUCCUACGGGAGGCAGCAGUGGGGAAUAUUGGACAAUGGGCGCAAGCCUGAUCCAGCCAUGCCGCGUGAGUGAUGAAGGCCUUAGGGUUGUAAAGCUCUUUCACCGGAGAAGAUAAUGACGGUAUCCGGAGAAGAAGCCCCGGCUAACUUCGUGCCAGCAGCCGCGGUAAUACGAAGGGGGCUAGCGUUGUUCGGAUUUACUGGGCGUAAAGCGCACGUAGGCGGAUCGAUCAGUCAGGGGUGAAAUCCCAGAGCUCAACUCUGGAACUGCCUUUGAUACUGUCGAUCUGGAGUAUGGAAGAGGUGAGUGGAAUUCCGAGUGUAGAGGUGAAAUUCGUAGA
rnacentral:rRNA from 3 species